AAGCUCGUAGUUGAAUUUCGGGGUUAGUAGGUUGGUCAUGCCUCUGGUAUGUACUGGUCUCACUGAUUCCUCCUUCCUUAUGAACCGUAAUGCCAUUAAUUUGGUGUUGCGGGGAACUUGGACUGUUACUUUGAAAAAAUUAGAGUGUUUAAAGCAAGCUAACGCUUGAAUACAUUAGCAUGGAAUAAUGAAAUAGGACGUUCGAUCUUAUUUUGUUGGUUUCUAGGAUUGACGUAAUGAUUAAUAGGGAUAGUUGGG
rnacentral:rRNA from 1 species